rnacentral:rRNA from 1 species
AACCGAGUCUUAAUUGGGCGUUAAGUUGCAGGGUAUAGACCCGAAACCCGGUGAUCUAGCCAUGGGCAGGUUGAAGGUUGGGUAACACUAACUGGAGGACCGAACCGACUAAUGUUGAAAAAUUAGCGGAUGACCUGUGGCUGGGGGUGAAAGGCCAAUCAAACCGGGAGAUAGCUGGUUCUCCCCGAAAGCUAUUUAGGUAGCGCCUCGUGAAUUCAUCUCCGGGGGUAGAGCACUGUUUCGGCUAGGGGGCCAUCCCGGCUUACCAACCCGAUGCAAACUGCGAAUACCGGAGAAUGUUAUCACGGGAGACACACGGCGGGUGCUAACGUCCGUCGUGAAGAGGGAAACAACCCAGACCGCCAGCUAAGGUCCCAAAGUCAUGGUUAAGUGGGAAACGAUGUGGGAAGGCCCAGACAGCCAGGAUGUUGGCUUAGAAGCAGCCAUCAUUUAAAGAAAGCGUAAUAGCUCACUGGUCGAGUCGGCCUGCGCGGAAGAUGUAACGGGGCUAAACCAUGCACCGAAGCUGCGGCAGCGAACGUAUCACUUAAAGCGAUUCAGCGGGUUACGAUUGACGGAGCGAAGCGACGUCAAAGCGUAUACAAAGUCGAGUCGGUUUAAGGAUACGUUCGUUGGGUAGGGG